GUUAUUUUGGCAGAGAAUAUGCAUUAAAUUUAGGAUUUAAUUAUAUAGUUAAUCU
rnacentral:tRNA from 1 species